rnacentral:lncRNA from 1 species
UCUUCCCUCCAAAAGUACCAAUCUUCAAGAAGCCUCUUCCUCCACCAGUGCCAAUCUACAAGAAACCUCUCCCUCCCCACAUCCCAGUGUACAAGAAGCCUCUUCCACCACCAAUCCCAGUAUACAAGAAGCCUCUUCCACCACCAGUCCCAAUAUACAAGAAGCCUCUUCCACCACCAAUCCCAGUAUACAAGAAGCCUCUUCCACCACCAGUCCCAGUAUACAAGAAGCCACUUCCACCACCAGUCCCAAUAUACAAAAAGCCACUUCCCCCACUAGUCCCAGUAUACAAAAAGCCUCUUCCCCCACCAAUUCCCAUAUACACAAAGCCAUUUCCACCACCAGUCCCAUUCUUUAAGCCAAAGCCAAAGCCACAUCCAUUCUUUAAGCCAAAGCCAAAGCCACAUCCAUUCUUUAAGCCUCACCCUCCACUGCCAAAGAUUCCUCAUCCAUUCUUUAAGCCUCUCCCUCCAUUGCCAAAGAUUCCUCACCCAUUCUUUAAGAAGCCACCAAUCCCACCACUCCACCCAAAAUAUUACUUCCCCCACCCAAAGGAUGGCAAGUUCCCACCCAUGCCACCUUUGGUUCCUCAAUAUCC